rnacentral:lncRNA from 1 species
AAAAAUCCCAAGUACUUCCUGCUCCUGCAAUAUCAUUGCUGUGUAUUUGUUUUCCCCUUAGACAUAUUCAACUUUGGUUCAGGGUAAAAAAGCUACAGCUUUUCCUGCUAUGUGCAACAAGCUGUCAGAUCAGAGUGAAAUCGAAAACAGGGUAGUGGUUGAUGGCAACCUCAUCACCAGUAGAGGGCCAGGAACUUCUAUGGAGUUUGCACUGGCAAUUGUGGAGAAGUUUUUUGGCCGCAACAAGGCACUUGAGCUUGCAAAGAUAUUGCUUUUCACCCGCACCUAAAAUUUGUACCAGGACCUGACUAAUAUUAAACUAGAGUGUUUAUUUCUGUAUUACUACUGCUUGUAGAGGCGAAAUGGAAACUUGAAUUCAUGUUUGAAUAGGGAUUCACUGUGCGGGUUUGUACAAGAGCUUGUUUAUAAAUAAAUGAGUUCAUAAAGAGUCAUUAUAAGUAUUUGGAAUAAACGUGAGUUGCUGUUUAGUUCUGUUUUUGAUGUUCACAGUCCCAUUGUGAUCCAGAGUAAUAUCUUUACCCUCACUGGGAAUUUUAAUUAUGAAGUUGAACCAAGAAUUUGAUAUAUUAUAUUCCACUUACGAUAUCUAAGAGAGAAUACUGAAGAGAAAGACGCUAAGAGAGAAUAUUGAAAUUAAACACAUACCAUGUCUAGUAUUAAGUCUGUAUGUGUACAAAGUUACAAAUUCGAAGAUUGGAUUUCUAAUUUCAAUUUAUGUUCUGCUCAAAGCAAUGGCUUUAAUUCCUUGAGCACAAGAAGGAACGAGUACGCACAAAGUUAACAGGCGCAGUAAAAAUUACGUUAAUUGGUUGCAGCAGCAUCAUCCAGGAACUUCCCUUUAAUCUUAUUGAGCUUUGCUGCAGCGUCUGUCAUAUUUAUCCUCUUGUCAGGUGACUCCAUACAACAAUCCAAAGCCAAAUCCAUGAUGCUUAAUAAACAAUCCAGUUUGGCAGAAAAAGCUUGCUCUUCUCGCACCAAAUUUGCGUCAACAACUUCACUCAAUCCGUGAGGUAAAGACUCCUUUACCCAUCUCCUUAAACUCAUUUCUCCUGUGAACAUUUCAUCGGUGGGCCUCUUUCUCGUGAAAGUUUCCAUCAAUAAUACACCAUAGCUGUAGACAUCACAUUUAGCUGAAACAAUUCCUUCUGAUCCAUACUCUGCAUUUUUUAAUUUCAAUUAUGAAACAAAUGAUAAAAGAAAUAAUUUUUUGAUAAUUAAGGUAACCCAAACUUCGCUCGUGCUUGAAAAAAGAGCAAAAAUUUUAAUUACAAUUGAAACUUUACCUGGUGCCAUAUAACCAACUGUAGCCAUUGUCAUGGUAUGUGUCACAGAAUCUUCUCCUUCACCAAAGAGUUUGGAAAUGCCAAAGUCGCUCAAAUGUGCCACCAUAUUUUCAUCUAAGAGAAUGUUGGUGGGCUUCAAAUCACAAUGAAUUAUAGGUGCCGACGAAUGACCAUGAUGGAGAUAUUCAAGAGCCGACCCCACAUCUAUCAUUACAUUCAACCUCUGUAGAAUGUCUAAGAAAUAGUUGUGAGAAUACAACCACUUCUCGAGACUACCACUUGGCAUGAACUCAAGUACCAAUGCUUUAAAAUCUGGAUUAGAACAACUGCUAAGGAUCUUUAUGAGAUUUCGAUGACGAACAUUCCGUAAAACUUCACAUUCAGAAUCAAAACUCCUAAAUGCUCUCUCUAGUUGCAGAUUGAAAAUCUUUAUCGCAACAUCAGUUCCGUCGGAAAUGGUUCCUUUAUAAACUGAUCCAAAGCUACCUGUACCCAGCAAGUUACAUUCAUUAAAUUCAUCAGUUGCUCGUUGAAUGUCUAGGUAGGAUGUUCUUCUCCAUGUUGCGAGAGGUAGGAAAUCUUCGUGAUCUGAUUUCCUUGUAGUCCUAUUUCGGCAUCGUAUGUACAUAAUGAUGAUAAUCACUAUAAGUACAGAGGAUAUUAUCGGCGGCAAAAUAUAUUUAAGGACAAUUAGAGCAACUUUCUUGGUGCUUUUGCUGUUACCUUGUUUGCAAGGUGGGACUCGGAGUUUAGGUGGACCACAGAGUGCAUAAUUUCCGAAAAACGAUUGAGCUAAGAAGUUUUUAAAAGACCCCCUAACAGGAAUUUCUCCUUCUAGCCUAUUAUAAGACACAUUAAAUUGUUUGAGAUGUGACAAUUUCUCCAAUGACUUGGGAAUUUUUCUAGAGAGCUUGUUGCCGGAGAGAUCUAAGGACUCUAAGCUUAUCAAACUGCCAACUGAUUCAGGAAUAGGUCCCUGAAAUUGAUUACGAGCCAAGGAUAGAGUUUCUAGAUCUAUGAGGGCACCAAUGGUUGAUGGAAUAUCACCUGAUAAUUGAUUCCUUGAUAAAUCUAAAACUGUCAAGACCUUUAACUUUUGUACAUUGGUAGGGAGAGGACCAUUUAAUGAAUUUGACGACAAGUUUAUCUCUAAGAUGUACUCAAGGCUCCACAAGGAUGACGGUAUACUAGAAGUGAGCUUGUUGGAGCCUAAGUGGAGUUCUCUUAGAGAUGUCAAACUCGCCAAGCAUGGCGGUAUAUGUCCAGAGAGCUUAUUUCCAUUUAACCUUAUUCCGUAUAUCAACUCCAAGUGGCAAAGAUCAUAGGGAAUGGAUCCUUCCAAAUUAUUUUCUUCAAGAGAAAAACCUUGUAGCCGCUUAAGUCUUCCCAUCGUUGGUGAAAUAGUUCCAUUCAAGUCAUUGAAGCCGAGGCUUAAGAGGAUCAGGCCACGCAACUUACCAAUUUCUUGAGGAAUGUUGCCCUUGAGUUUGCACUCGUAUGCAUAGAAUUUUUUAAGAGAAGCUGAGAAAUUUCCAAUUACUGGUGGAAGGAUGCCCCCUAAUGGAUUAGAACCGAAGGCUAAAAAUGUUAAAUUUCUGCAAUUAGUCAGAGAAGAGAGAAAACUCCACUGAUCUGCUGAAGAUGAUUCUGUCGUCAAGUUAUUAUAUGCUAAGCUGAGCACGUCGAGGUGUCUCAAGUUGCCAAAUGUAUUUGGAAUAUGGCCCGAGAAUGAGUUGUAGCCCAAGUCUAGGGCAACGAGUUUAGUAGCAUUGGUGAUAGAGUGGGGAAUUAUCCCUAUAAGAUUAUUGGCCGACAAGGCUAAAUACUCUAUGUUCGGAAGCGAGUGGCCAAUCGUUGACGGUAAGCGGCCUGAGAGUUGAUUGCCCCCCAGAGUAAGGACUCUCAUGGUUGAAAUGUUGAAGAUCGUGGGUGGAAUGAGGCCACUUAAAUUGUUGUCAGCAAAAACAAGAACCUCCAGAUUUUCCAGAUUGCCAAUCUCGGUUGGAAUUUGACCUGCCAUCAGGCCAACAUUGAGAAGUCAUUGAGCCAAUAAUGUUCUUUAAAAUAUUUCAUAGAUAAUUCUGCAAAAUAUGCAUGCAAAUGGAAAAAUAUGCUUCAAUUACAAGAGGAGGUGGAGCGUACCUCGAAGAUUGCUGAAUCCAAGAUCCAGAUUCACGAGUUUACUCAAAUUUCCUAUCCUUGAAGGAAUAUUUCCACCAAUAAUAUUGAACUCUGCACGCAGCAUCUCUAGCCUUGAUAAGUUGAAGAGAGAAUUAGGGAUGGGACCUGUGAAACUGUUAUUAGCAAGAUUCAAUAUUCGGAGUUUAGAUAAGACACCAAUCCAUGAUGGAAAGCUUCCGCUGAAUUUAUUGUAAGCCAAACUCACGACUCUGAGUCGACGUAAUUGCCCCAAUUCUUUCGGCAGAUGGCCAUGAAAACUGUUCUCACUAAUGUCAAGAGACACUAGAAAUGAGAGAUUUCCCAAGUGUAGUGGAAUGGUGCCUCCGAGACCCAUAUCUGAAAGAUUCAAGGCAGUGACUCUUUGAUGGCGUGAACCACAAGAGACACCAACCCAGCUACAUGUUGGAUAAGAUAUAGACCAAUUAUUUGCCAGGGCACUCCGAUAAUCAAAAACAUGGGCUUUGAAUGCUAGAAGAGCUGAUUGAUCUGUUGUUAAAUCGUUUAAAGUCGUCACCGCUAAGCUAGCAAUGAGAUACUGUAACACUAACACCGACAUAGGAACAAAGAAGAAUGAUAAGCGCAUAUUGGUCGUUUUUAGUAGUAGUUGCAAGGCGAGAUUGAUACAAGUUUUAAGUAAAGGAAAUUAGCAUAUACUUAUAAUGAGACAUAUGAAUUUGAAAAUAAGAGCUGAAAAAAUAUACAGGAGACUUGCAAAUUGUUAUAUUCUGUCAUUGAGCGAGCCGUCCAAGUAAACGCAUUUACACUUGAACCCUAAAUAAAGGCCUUAUGGCACUUUAAUUGCCAAAAGGAAGAAGAUGCUCAACAUUGCCAAAAGUGUUUUUCUUGAAGUCUCAUCUUCCGUAAUGUUUGUCAAAACGAGGUUUUACCAUCUGUAAUGAAAUAUUUACUCUUGAUUUGGACCACGUAAUCAAAACUUGACAAAAGAUUAUGAUCUUAUGUGAUUUUAUGAAUGUGGUCUUAUCUAUUAUAAGUCAGCAAUGAAUUAAUUAAAGCUUGCUGGCAAAUUACAAGCUCAAAAAUAUCUUUUACUUAUUCACAAUCUUAUUUUAUUUUUUUAUAACAUAACAUUAAAAAUUUGUCUAUUAAAUUAAUUUAAUAAUUUUUAAUAAAAAAUCUCAUUGACAACCAAACAACUAAUUAUUUUUUUAUAAAAGCUCUACUUGUUAAAAUUAUGCUGAAAAAAACUCUACUUAAGUAAAUUCUAUUUGAAAAGUUAUACUAAGCAUAACCUUAUUUCUUAUUAGCUUAAUUGCUUCCACUACUCCUACAUUUUUUUAACCAUGUGGAUUCCUUCAAUCUCAUAAUCAAAGGCGCUUUAAGCCAUUUUAUUUCUUUUUUUUUUUUAAUUAUUAUUGGAAAAGUAGCGUAGCUUAUCAAAAAAGGAAAAAAAAAAAAGAAGCCAAAGUGACGAGUGGCUCGUUUUUUAAUUUCAAAGUCAAUGCAAAGUAAAAGUACCAAAAUAAUCAGUUUUUAAAUCCAAAUAAGUGCCAAUAAAGGGAGGUCUUGUUAGGGGUGUUCGCGGAUCGAAUUUUAUGGAUUGGACAUCAAUCCAUAUCCGAUCCACGAUUUUACGGGUUAUAAAUUUUCAAUCCAAUUUAAUCCAUGGAUUUGUAAAAUUCAAUCCAAAUUCAAUUCAAAUUCAAUCUAUAAAUCUGCAGAUCAGAUGCAAAUUUGACCAAAUCCAUAUCCAAUCCACCAUUUUGCGGAUUGGUUUGUGGACUGAAAAUUUUUAAUUCUAUCAAAUCCACGAACUAACUAAAUAAAAAAAUUUAACAUAAAAAUAAUUUUACCACGGAUCAAAUUUAAAAUUAAAUAAGAUUUAAAUAAAUAAAUUGCUUAAAUAAAGCUAGCAAAUACAUUUAAAGUUUCAAAAUAUAACACACCAAAAUGAAAAAAAUAUCAUUCGUUUAGAUCAAGGAAAUUAACUAUUUAGUAAACUAUAUUUGUUUAUUUAAUUAUUUUUCAUUUUAUAUUAUUAUCGGAUAUGAUAUAAUAUAAUGUUAAUGUAACUAUAUUUUAACUUAUUUAUUUACUAGUAAGUACUAAUAACAUAUUUACAAGUUUUAUUUUUAAUUAAAUAAAUACUUUUUAUUUUUUUGCGGAUUUUUGCGGAUUUACAGAAGUAGAUCCAUAUUCAAUCCACUGAUUGCGGAUUAUCAAAUUUUUAAUUCAAUCCAAUCCACCAAUCCACGGAUCAGACAGAUUGAGCGGAUCGAAUUAGAUUAUGAACACCUUUAGGUUUUGGUGUCCAUUGUUGAAAACUUGGAAGUCUAUAUGACCAUUUAACCAAACUAUAGGGGUAUAACUGUCACAAAUUUUUAAAAAUAAAUUUUACCAAACAUUUAAAUGAUUUUUUUUUCACAAUUGAUUAUUAAAUUCUAAGUGUUAGACUACUGUAAGAAUACAAAUAAUUGACAUAGACAUAAUAUUAAAUAAAAUUUACUUAUAUAUUUAUAUACAUGCAUGUAUGUAUGUAUGUAUGUGUGUAUAUAUAUAUAUAUAUGUGUAUGUAUGUAUGUGUGUGUGUGUGUAUAUAUAUAUAUAGUGUUGUUCCAAUCCGGGAUUGGAACAGCACUCUAUUAAUUUUUUUGGUUUGGCUGCACAUGGUGGAGCCCACCAUGUGCAGCCACAGGUGGCCUUUGGAUUUGAAUCUAAAGGCCACCAGCCUCCCUCCCGGACAUCGUUCCAAAUUCCGGAUUGGAACAGCCUUAUAUAUAUAUAUAUAUAUAUAGUUUAUUGUUUGUUUAUAAAAAUUGCUAACUAAAAAAUAUUUAUAUUUUAUCAAUUUUAUUUCUCUUAUUGUUUAUCUCAAUAUAAAUGUAAUAAUAAUAAUCUCUCUGAAUUUAAUUAUUUUUGCUCUUUAUUGAAUAAGGAUAAUUUUGAGUUUCUGUAAUAUAUGUGAGGAUAUAUAUAAAAUUGUAUUAAAUAUAUAACUAUUCUCAAAAUUAAAUUUUGAAAAACUAGUUCUUUCUCACUUUUCAUUUAAUUAGGCAAAUGGCCACAGAAAUUGUUCUCCCUCAUAUCCAAAUAAACUAAAAACGAGAGAUUUCGUAAGUGUGGGGGGAUGAUGGACUAUGGUAUGAGCAUCACAACAUAUGCCAAUUCGACCGCAUAUUGAGUAAGACAUGGACCAAUUAUUCAAGAGAUUCAUGAGCCUUCGAAGUGAGAAAUAGAGCAAAUUAGGUGGUGGUGGGUCAAUUGACUACGUUUCGUGAUCUACGUGCGAUUGCAACAGUCGGUUCAUUAAGUGAAAUUAAUGACUCGUCCACUAUAGUAAGAUACUGUCCUCAUUAGGAUGGUGCUGGGUCAAUUUUAUCCAUGAGUCAACUUACAUUAAUUUGAAUUAAUUUAUAAGAGUAUCUCAUUUUCGUUGAUUACGAGUUGUGAUCGAUGACAUGCACGAAAGCAGUCAAUUUACAGGUCAUUCACUAUAUAUAUGGGGUCUAUGGGUGGGUGGAUCUAACGUAAAUUAAGGGCUGAUGAUGACCCUCGACUUCUAACGACGACCAACGAAGACGACCUUGACUUUACAUGUAAACACACAAUUCGCUCUCAUACAUUAUGUUUUAAAAUUUCUCCAUUUGCCGGGGCCCCGCUGUCGACCGUACACAGUUUAAUUUGUAUAUACAAGACCUCAAUGUUUCUAGCAAGCAUAGAGCCAUAGACCAUAUUAAUUCCAAUUACAUAAAUCUUCAUUUUUAUCAUGAUUUUGGACUUCAAGGAGCGUGGAUAUAUCCAACCAGAUCCGGCUCACUGGCAUUUUAAUAUAUUUUAGAAUUGAGUAAUGAGUAUCAAUAAACGUGUAAUUGUAAAUCUAUAACUUUAAUUUUAAUUUGAGGACUCAAAUGAAUUAAUCAAACAGUAACUCGUUAAAUUAAUAGUCCACAAAUUUUUAACUUUAAUUAAAUAAUAAAUUUUGUCCGUCCCAACUUAAGAUUAACGUGGUAAUUAAUAAUUUGAUAAAUUAUUAGAUAAUAAUUUGAUAAAUUAUUAGAUAAUAAUUUAAAAAAAUCUUAUUUCUUUUAUUGGAUCCAACUGAUAUAUAAAUUAAAAAUUAAUUAAUUUUAAAACUAAGUUCAUAUUAUGUCAAUCAAAUGUUGUUGCAAAGAAGACUAGCAGCGACGCUUUGACAGGUACACCAAAGCCUUUUGCACCUUCUCCUUCGUGACCACCAAUAGAUACUUCCACCAUUUCAACGUCAUGACAUGAUGUAAGUUUCUUUUGUAGAAUUUGCGAAUUGGUAAUCUUUUACACGCGUACAUUUAUAUCAUUGUAUGGUUAUAGAUUCAAUUACUUUUAUGACGCAUUUAUUAAAUUGAAAUUGAAAUAAACAAGAAUGGGCUGUAAUGUGAAUGGAGAAUCAAAAUUAGAAUAAGUUAUUUACUUGAACUGUAGAAAUCGAAAUAAGCUGGAUUGUCAUUAAUGUGUUUAUUUUAUCUUAGAAUCCGAUUUGAAAUAAGUUAGAUUGUAACAAAUUACUAAAAACUACUUAACGAACUAUUAUUAUAAUUAUUAUUUUGUAUUUUAAUUAUUGUGAUUAUUUAUUAAAAAUUAUUAUUAUUAUUAUUAUUAUUAUUAUUAUUAUUACUUAUUGUUAAUAGUAUAUUAAUAAAUUAUAAUAAUAUAUUAAAUAACUAUAAUAUAUUAAAAAAUAUACUUGUAUUUACAUGAAAUGACGGAUAAAAUUUCUAAAAUGGUCUUCCUCCCUAAAACUUUGAAUGCCACAGCCCUAAAAAUUAAUAAGAUUUGGGAAUUAUGUCUUUUUUAAAAUAUUAAAGGGUGUUUAUUUCCUUAAACGUUGGGGGCUAAAAGUCCUAUUCCCAAAAGAGUAGUGUGCUGGCGUUGGAGGCUAGAAGGAAAAUUCGUUACAUUGCUCAAACACUUUUCUACAUCUAAACUAAUCAUUAGGAUUUAUAUUAACUAAUAAACCCUAAUAAUACGAGCGUUCAUAAAACUUCAUAUGAACAUUGAAGUAGCAUGGCAUCAUAUUGUAAUAAGUUGUACAGCUGUCAAUCUCUUAUUAGUCAGAUAUAUUCUGAGUUAGUUACAUGAAUGUAGUAUAAAUAUCAUGCUCUGUACACAUUCUUAGUUAGUUACUUCAGUAGAAUUUUCUCUCCUCUACUCGAUUUUUAAGUUAUCUUUUAUAUUGGGGGCAAAUGAUAUUUUAUUAACGAAAUGAUUUUGCCCUCUUAAUAAGCUCUCAUUUCUCCCCUUUGAUCAACGCAGCCUUCUUUUAUUACAUCAAAAUUCUUCCUCUUUCCAUCAAAAUUUCAUGGAUCUGCCCUUGCGUAUAAUCAUAUGAGAGUAUACAAUAAAAUUAAUUAGGUAUGUGUGGAACAUUUUUGUUAUCCUUAAGCUGAUUUUAUUUUCAUUUUUUUAUAGUAUAUAUUGUCAAAAGUAAAUGCUAUAAACACUUUCGGAAAAAAAGAUGAAGAGCGCCUUUGGAGUAAUUUUUUCUAGAGGAACUAACAAAACAACUAAAUGAUGUAUGUAUCUCUAAGAUUUAUUAUUAUUAUUAUUAUUAUUAUUAUUAUUUCUGUAGUUGACAAAGCAUCAUGAUUGUGUUGGAUGAUAAGAUUAAAGGUGAGAAUGGACCAAUUUUUUAGGAUAAAAAAAAAUGAUUCAAUCUUGGGCAUGUUUGGCUAUCGAAACUAAUUGAUUAGUCUAAAGUUUAAUUCAAAAGUAAUGGGACUAUUAAUCCUUAGGAAAAUUAUCAUUCGUAUACCCUAUAGAUACUCUGUUAUCAAAAAAUACUAUAAUACUUUAAGAGUGUAUCAAUCGUCCACUCAAAGUUGACAAAAUGUAUCUGCCGUCUACCAAACCGUUACUUGACGUUUAAAUAGGAUACUGCUAGAGGGGUAAUUUGAACUUUUUAUAUGAUACAAGUGAUAAUUUAAGAAUAUAUAAGUGAUAAUAAAAUAAUUUAAUGGUAUACAAGGGAUACUUUUCAAGAGUAAAAUCGUCAAUUUGUUAUAAUUCUGUUAACUUUCAAACGACAGCUAACGGUUUGGUGGUUGACAGAUAGUUUUUGUCAAUUUAGGGUGGACGAUUGAUACACUCUCAAAGUGUUUUAGUAUUUUUGAUAACAGAGUAUCUAUAGGGUAUACAAAUAAUAAUAUCCCUAAUCAAUCCUUAAUUCAACUUAGGUUUAAGUAGUAUAUAAAAAAUCUUCUUUAUCACUCUUUUCAUUUUUAUUUAGAUUAAAAUUCAUAUAAAUAAAUAUAAAGAAUUAAUUUCAUAAUUUAUUUAAACUAAAAUUUUAUAUUAUAUUAAAUAUCCAAUUUUUAAUUCAAUAAUUUAUUUAUAUUAGAAUUGUAUACAAUAUUAAAUCCCAAAACUUUAUUUAAUAAUUUAUUUACAAUAAUAUUAAAUAUCAAAUUCAACAAUUAGUAAUAUAAUUUAAAAUAAUUAUACUAUUUUAAUAGUGAUUUAGCUAUAUUAAAUUAAAUUUAAUAUAUCCUUAUCUGAUACUAUACUAAACAAACGAUAGUACCUGAUAUAGUAGAGUCAAUCUAUUAUAAUAUAAUUUAAUCUAAUCUUAUAAAUUGGUUCAAUCUAAUCGUACAUGUCAAAUCAGUAAAUUUUAAAAAGUAAUUUUAUAACAGCUUUAAAAAAGCAUUUUUUCAGUUACGUCUAGAAAACGCGCUUUCUCGGAAAGCACUCGUGAAAUGCACAUUCUCACAAAACACGUGGUCUGUUCAAUUGGGCCACAGCCCAUUAAAACUACAACCAUGAAAGCAAGCAAUGCUCGUUGGGCUUUAGAAAAGUUAUACACGUAGCCCACCACCGGCGCCCUAAUUUGUCUUCACCUCUCAAAAUAUUAUUGAUUGAUGCAUAUGUUUCACAGCAUAGAGUGGCUUACAUUGGAGCUUUUCUGAAAAAGUGAAAAUUUCAUUUAAUUAUUUAUUAUUCACGGAUAAGAAAUUAACUUCUUCUUCUUUUUUCUAAUGCCACAAUCUGGUGAGCUUGCCUAGUGUGUUUUAGUUGGAUAAAAAUUUUUGCAAAUGUUUCUUGGCAAGGAAGCUUAAACAGUUUAACCCGAAUUUAACCUCGAAUGAACGCAAAUUAUCAAACCGAACUAAUCCGAAUUGUGAAUCUGAAUUUCAGUUCGAUUCGGUUUGGUUCGGUUCGCAUUAUCAAUCCGAACGGGUUCAAUGCUCCAAUCCGAUCGGGUUGUAACCCAAACCAAAACCCGAAAACCCGAACCGAAACCGAUUUGCCCACCCGUAAUGUGAACUGAGAAGUACCCAGAUCGUAAAAAGAAAGGUCUUGAUAAUAAUUUUGGCUAAAAAUCUGUUUUUUAACUUUUAUUUUUAUUCUUUUAUGCUGUAUUUUAGUUGUUGAAUAGGUUAUAUAUAGAAGUUCAGUUAAUUUUGUUUUGGAUGAAAAAUCAAUGAAUACUUAUGUGAUUAAUAAGUGAAAUUUUGUUUGCAUCAUGUAGUCAGCUAUAAUGCAUUGGAUGGCUUUUACUCAGCAUGGAAGAAAUGCUCUCCGGCAGAUUACUAAAGAGAGCUCUGAUCGCGUGUUGCAUCACCCAUUGCUAUUUUCUUGUCAAGGACUCAGAUACAGACGAUUGGAAGUGAUUCUAACAACAGUGAGUAAAUUGAUCUUUUGUUUUCCCUUUUCACCAGUUUGGAUCUCUUGACUAAUCAGCCUAUUUGAGUUUUAACUUGUGUAUUAAUGAUUGGUUUUAUAUGUUCAGAAAGUUGAUAAGCUUGGUAAAGCUGGUGAAACUGUGAAGGUUGCUCCAGGGUAUUUCCGCAACCACUUGAUGCCCAAAUUGCUUGCUCUUCCAAAUAUCGAGAAGUUUGCUCAUCUCAUUAGAAAGCAGCGCAGGGUAUUUGUUUUUCAUGAUUUUUCUUGGUUGAACUUUUUUUCUGUUUGGGUUGAGAAUGGUUAAUUCUAGUGAUACAGAAAUUUGCUCAUUUUCUUUAGAUACUUUGUUAGCCAUUUUGUCAAUUAAUUUGACUCAUGGCUUCAAAUUAUUGCUAAAUUCUUGGUUUGGAAAUAUUUAUGAUUUUUGAAGGGGCAUUACAAGUUAUUAAUAUUUGUUGUGCCUGUGACUUAUUUUCAUCAGAUUUGCCAGCCUUAGGAAGAGGAAGAGGUUAAAGUUAUCAGGAAGUCUGAGGAUAAUACGAGUAGAGAAUUUGAGAAGGCAGCUAGGCGCCUAGAGAAUGCUCGACUGGUUUGUGGCCUAUCUUUUAAUUUCUUCAGAUUCGGGACAUAUUGUCUUGGAGUGAACUGAUGUGUUGCCUUUUCUUUUUUUAAGCGUGAAUGAUCUAUUUGCUGCAGUAAGCAGUGAACGUCGUAAUGAAUGUUAAAUUAUGCUGUUUGUUUCGAUUUACUUUUCUAUCUUAGCUCUGUGUGAUUAGUGGAAUGCUGGUCCUGCGAGUAUAAAAAUGAACUCCUUAAGUCAAAUUCCUUCUUGGGGUGUUGGAGAAAGAACUAAAUACAUGUAAUAUUUCUUUUGGAUAUGGAUCAUCUGAUGGAUGUUGUAUUUUCUAGGUAUUGAGGAGAUUCCCUAAUAUUGAAAAAUUACGUUCCCGUGCAUCAAAAGAUGAUCCCCUAGAAUUGCGUUCACCUGUGACAAAAGAGGAGCUUGUAGCUGAGGUAUGGAUUGAAAAAUUUCUGCUAGGGUGUGAUCGUACGGUAGCCAAUUGUGAGCAACAGAUCCACAUGGUAAUAUAGAUUGAAAUUUUGCUAGCGUGUCAUGGUGUCAAGAUUGUCGCUGAUGCUCUCGUGUCUGACUGCAGCGACGCCGUUUUUGAUCUUAUAGCUCUUCCCGUAUGUAUUGCAGCUCACCUCAGCUCAUGCUAAUUUAUGUGAUGUUUGUAUAAUUAUAGAUGAUUAUUGCUGAUACUGAAUGUUAAGCUAAAUAAUUCGUCGUUAAGUCAUCUUCAUUUAAUUUUCGAUUGAAAAUGAAAAAAUAGUAAUUUUGAGCAAAGAAAAAUAUAGAAAAUGUUUUUUUUGUUUUAUUUUAAUUUUUAAUUUUUGGAGAUUUCCUUAUUGUGGGUGUUAUCAUUCAUUAUAUGGCCAUAGUUAAAUAUUUCAAGUUAUUGUAGUCAGUGAAACUCUUUUCGAUAUUUAUUCUGGCAUGUAUAUUUUUCCUUUCAAUUUCUUUUGUUGCUGAUUCUUUGAUUGAUUAUGUUAUAUCCUUUUUUUGUUUCCUUUGUAAGGUGGCAUGCCCGGUGCUACCAAUCUGAAAGAAUAUGAAGUAUUAGAAACCAUUGUGAAGAAGCAGGCUUCAGCUGGGCGUCUUUAUGCUGUUGUCUGUGCUUCACCUGCUGUGGCAUUAGGGUCUUGGGGUCUGUUGAAGGGAUUGAAGGUAAGAAUUAGAUAAGCCUUUUUUAUGUUUUGUGUUCUUUUGGGAAUUGCAUUGAUAUUUGUGUUAUACAUCAGUUUUGCUCUCACCGAUGAUUGUUAAGUUCUAAUUUAUGGGGUUAUUCAUUUUUUGUAGGCUACUUGUUAUCGGUCAUUUAUGGAGCAAUUAGCUCCUGCUUGUGCAGCAACUGUUGAAUCAAGAGUACAGCAGGAUGGUAAAGUUGUUAAGAGUCGUGGACCUGGCACUGCUAUGAUUUAAUUGUCUUGCCAGUGAGUUGGGGUGCUUACUCUUGCUUCAUAGUCUUUACCACAUUAUUGACUUACUAACUACAAUUUAUCCAUGCACAUUGCACAGGGUGGACUUGGUGGCGCUCAAGCAUUUGCGAAGUCAGAGAAAUUGGUGCAUAUGCUAAAGAAGCAAAAGGAAUCAAAUAGACCUUACGGUGCUAUAUGUGCAUCCCCAGCUUUAGUGUUGGAGCCCAAUGGCUUACCCAAGGUACGACCAUUUCUGCUUAAAUUAUUUACUCAGAUUUGGAUCACCUAAUCUGAACUUGAUGAAGGAUUAUGAUGUUGUGUGUUUUUAUGAAUGUGGUCUUAUCUCAUGUAAGUCAGUGAUGAAUUAAUUGAAGUUUGCUGACAAAUUAGAAACUGAAAAACUGCUGCUGCUUCGUUAGUUAUAUUACCCAAAGAGUUAAAAUAAACAUCCCAAAUUUUUUAUCCCAAAUGAUAUGGCAUUUAUUGAGUGAUUGGUAAUUUUUUACAAAAUCCAAAUGAAUUAAUUGUAUUAUCUAACCAACCAAUUGAUGAAUGUCACAUCAUUUGAGAUUUUGGGAUAAAGAAUAUGGGAUUUUUACCCGCAAAAAUCCCAAGUACAUCCUGCUCCUGCAAUAUCAUUGCUGUGUAUUUGUUUUCCCCUUAGACAUACUCUACAUUGGUUCAGGGUAAAAAAGCUACAGCUUUUCCUGCUAUGUGCAACAAGCUGUCAGAUCAGAGUGAAAUCGAAAACAGGGUUGUGGUUGAUGGCAACCUCAUCACCAGUAGAGGGCCAGGAACUUCUAUGGAGUUUGCACUGGCAAUUGUGGAGAAGUUUUUUGGCCGCAACAAGGCACUUGAGCUUGCAAAGAUAAUGCUUUUCACUCGCGCCUAACGUUUGUACGGGGACCUGACUACUAUUAAACUAGUGUGUUUAUUUCUGUAUUGCGACUGCUUGUAGAGAGGGGAAAUGGAAACUUGAAUUCAUGUUUGAAUAUGGAUUCACUGUGUGGGUUUGUACAGCAGUUUGGUUUAUAAAUAAAUGAGUUCAUAGAGUCACUUCAAUUAUUUGGAAUAAACCUGAGUUUAGUUCUGUUAUCAAUGGUCGGAGUCCAAUUGCGAUCGACUCACUGGGAAUUUUAAUUAUGAACUAAAAAAUUGUUAUGUUAUAUUCCACCUUUCAUAUAUAUAUAUAUAUAUCAAAUGUUAACCCGAUUUACAGGAUAAGAAGGAAAAGAAAGACGCUAAGAGAGGAGCAGAGACCCAAAAAGAGUUGACCACUUUGUUGGAACAUAAAUCUCUAGAAUAUUGAAAUAAAAAAACACAUUGCAAAAGUUGCAUUAACUACUUGUAGCAACAUCAUCCAAGAACUUGACUUUAUUCUUCUUGAGCUUCGCUGCAGCAUCUGUCAUAUGCAUUCUCUUGUCAGGUGACUCCAUACAACAGUCCAAUGCCAAAUCCAUGAUGCUUAAUAAACAAUCCAUUUUGGCAGAAAAAGCUUGCUCUUCUCGCACCAAAUUUGCGUCAACAACUUCACUCAAUCCGUGAAGUAAUGACUCCUUUACCCAUCUCCUUAAACUCAUUUCUCCUGUGAACAUUUCAUCGGUGGACCUCUUUCUCGUGAAAGUUUCCAUCAAUAACACACCAUAGCUGUAGACAUCACAUUUGGCUGAAACAAUUCCUUCUAAUCCAUACUCUGCAUUUUUUAAUUUUAAUUAUGAAACAACUGAUAAAACAAAUAAUUUUUUGACAAUUAAGGUAACCCAAACUUUGCUGUGCUUGAAAAAAGAGCAAGAUUUUUAAUUACAAUUGAAACUUUACCUGGUGCCAUAUAACCAAUUGUAGCCAUUGUCAUGGUUUCUGUCACAGAAUCUUCUCCUUCACCUAAGAGUUUGGAAAUGCCGAAGUCGCUCACAUGUGCCACCAUAUUUUCAUCCAAGAGAAUGUUGGUGGGCUUUAAAUCACAAUGAAUUAUAGGUGCCAACGAAUGACCAUGAUGGAGAUAUUCAAGAGCCGACCCCACAUCUAUCAUUAUAUUCAACCUCUGUAGAAUGUCUAAGAAAUAGUUGUGAGAAUACAACCACUUCUCGAGACUACCAUUCGGCAUGAACUCAAGUACCAAUGCUUUGAAAUCUGGAUUAGAACAACUGCUAAGGAUCUUUAUGAGAUUUCGAUGACGAACAUUCCGUAAAACUUCACAUUCAGAAUCAAAACUCCUAAAUGCUCUUUCUAGUUGCAGAUUGAAAAUCUUUACUGCAACAUUAGUCCCGUCGGAAAUGGUUCCUUUAUAAACUGAUCCAAAACUACCUGUACCAAGCAAGUUACAUUCAUUAAAUUCAUCAGUUGCUCGUUGAAUGUCUUGGUACGAUGUUCUUCUCCAUGUUGCAAGAGGUAGGAAAUCUUCGUGAUCUGAUUUUGUUGUACUCCUAUUUCGGCAUCUUAUGUACAUAAUGAUGGUAAUCACUAUAAGUACGGUGGAUACUAUCGGAGGCAAAAUAUAUUUAAGGAUAGUUAGAGCAACUUUCUUGGUUCUUUUGCUGUUAUCUUGCUUGCAAGGUGGGACUCGGAAUUUAGGUGGACCACAGAGUGCAUAAUUUCCGAAAAAUGAUUCAGCUGAGAAGUUUUUAAAAGACCCCUUAACAGGAAUUUCCCCUUCUAGCCUAUUAUGAGACGCAUUAAAUUGUUUGAGAUGUGAAAGUGUCUCCAAUGACUUGGGAAUUUUUCCAGAGAGAUUGUUGCCGGAGAGAUCUAAGGAUUCUAAGCUUAUCAAACUGCCAACUGAUUCAGGAAUAGGUCCUUGAAAUUGAUUACUAGCCAAGGAUAGAGUUUCUAGAUCUACGAGGGCACCAAUGGUUGAUGGAAUAUCACCUGAUAAUUGAUUCCUUAAUAAAUCUAAAACUCUCAAGACCUUUAACUUUUGUACAUUGGAAAGGAGAGGACCAUUAAAUGAAUUUGACGACAAGUUUAUCUCUAAGAUGUACUCAAGGCUCCACAAGGAUGACGGUAUACUAGAAGUGAGCUUGUUGGAGCCUAAGCGGAGUUCUCUUAGAGAUGUCAAACUCGCCAAGCAUGGCAGUAUAUGUCCAGAGAGCUUAUUUCCAUUUAACCUUAUUCCGUACAUCAACGCCAAGUGGCAAAGAUCAUAGGGAAUGGAUCCUUCCAAAUUAUUUUCUUCAAGAGAUAAACCUUGUAGCCGCUUAAGUCUUCCCAUCGUUGGUGAAAUAGUUCCAUUCAAGUCAUUGAAGCCGAGGCUUAAGAGGAUCAGGCCACGCAACUUACCAAUUUCUUGAGGAAUGUUGCCCUUGAGUUUGCACUCGUAUGCAUAGAAUUUUUGAAAAGAAGCAGAGAAAUUCCCAAUUACUGGCGGAAGGAUGCCGCCUAAUGGAUUAGAACCGAAGGAUAAAAAUGUUAAAUUUCUGCAAUUAGUCAAAGAAGAGAGAAAACUCCAUUGAUCUGCUGAAGAUGAUUCUGUCGUCAAGUUAUUCAUCAUAAGGCUGAGCACGCUGAGGUGUCUCAAGUUGCCAAAUGUAUUUGGAAUGUGGCCUGAGAAUGAGUUUACGCCCAAGUCUAGCAUAAUGAGUUUAGUAGCAUUGGUAAUAGAGUUGGGAAUUGUCCCCAUGAGAUUAUUGGCCCACAAGGUUAAAUACCCUAUGUUCCGAAGCGAUUGGCCAAUCGUUGACGGUAAGCGGCCUGAAAGUUGAUUGCUAAGUAGAUUAAGGAAUCUUAUGGUUGAAAUAUUGAAGAUCGUGGGUGGAAUGAGGCCACUUAAAUUAUUCACACCAAGAAUAAGACGCUCCAAAUUUUGCAGAUUGCCAAUCUCGGUUGGAAUUUCACCUGCCAUAAGGCCAACAUUGAGGAGUCAUUGAGGUUUUAGCUUACGGUAAAUUGAGUGUGACAAUGUUACCCUUGAAAAUGUAAAAGGAUCAAAUUAAAUUUAUUACAUAAUAAUUUCAGCCAAUAAUGUUCUUUAAAAUAUUUCAUAGAUAAUUCUGCAAAAUAUGCAUGCAAAUGGAAAAAUAUGCGUCAAUUAUAAGAGGUGGUGGAACGUACCUUGAAGAUUGCUGAAGCUAAGAUCCAGAUUCACGAGUUUACUCAAAUUUCCAAUCCUUGAAGGAAUAUUUCCACCAAUAAUAUUGAACCGUGCACGCAGCAUCUCUAGCCUUGAUAAGUUGAAGAGAGAAUUAGGGAUGGGUGUUGGGAAAAUAUGCUCUUUAAAAGCAUAUGUGUUUAUUUAAUUGUAAUAAACAAUUUUUCUGAUUAAUAAAAUAAAUGAGGUAUUUUAUUCAAAUAUCUUAAUUGCAUUAAUAUUUGUAUUAAAGUCCAUUUAAUCAUAUUAUAUGUAUUUAUGUGAUCACCAUGUGGAUUCACAGAAGACAUAAAUACAAGUUAUCUUAUGAUUAAAUAAAUUUAGUUCGCAGUUGAUAAAUAAAGUUGGACACUUUAUUUAGGUAUAGACUGUAAUAAAUUCAUUGAAUGAUUUGUCUUAAUCAUGUAUGAAUUUAUUAAUGUAGUACGACUACAUUGAACAGGAUCACAUAUGAGAUUUAAUUAACUUUGUAAUAACUGUCAGACUUAUUAAAUCUCAUAGGCGUUGAUUUUACUGUAAUCUUAAUCUUGAGUUAAUUAUGAUUUCAUGAUUGUAAUUGUUAUUCCAUUUGAGUUACCAAUGGGCACGACACAUUCUUGUGGUCAAGAUUACCCGAUAUCUUGGUGGGAGCAAUUAUGAGUAUUGGAGUUAUGGAUUAACAAUAUAGAAUUUGUACAACACAUCUCUUGAUGGGUUUUCGGCACUUGAUCAUAGAAUUCUCUGGCCAGAGUGUGUCAACAUAUUUAGUAUGUUGAAAAUGAUCAUUAGAGAAAACCAGUAAGGAUCAAGGAAUAAGAUGUUAUUAAAUUGAUUGGACAGUUGAGAUAUCAAUUUAAUUAACGAUGUGGUACAAAAGAUUGUGCAGUAAAGAAAUCAAUGUGGCUUGGGACGAAUUAUUAUUCGAGCAUACAAUUAUGGAAGUCAGUUCCAAUCUUUUAGUGGAGUAGAUUUGGAAUUAAAUAAUUGGGCUAGUUUAAUUACAGGCCUAAUUAUUGUAGCUACUAUUGUAUGUUCCCAAAUGAUCCCCGGGUUAGCUCAUUUAAUUGACUGCACCACUACUGGACUAAUAAGUAAGAUAACUAGCGAUUUGGGUCAAAAGCCUAAAUAUAUCAUUUAGUGGGAGGCUCCAUUUAAUUAGCUUUUGUAUAAGGGGCCUUAUGUUAUUUUACAAGGUGGGUCCCCUAUUGAAAAAGUAAAUAAACGUGAGUUUUAUUUAGGGCAUUAUUUGGAGCCUAGGGUUUUCACUAAAGGGAGAUAUAUAAGGCUUAUUUUUCCCUAAAGAAAAGUAGAGAAGCACUUUUUAUACAGAUCAGAGAAAAAGAUUUUUCUCUCCAUUGUUGAGAGAAAAAUUUUCUCGUGCUAGUUGCUUUGGUAGUGAUAAAGGCGCCCGCACGUCAAGUGCAGAUCGAACCUGAGUCAUAACCUGGAAGAUCAUUGGAGACAGUUCGUGAUCUAACAAGCGUGGUGGUGACGGAUCGUGAUCUAACAGGAGUGGUGGUGGCGGAUCGUGAUCUAGGAGCCUAAAUCACUUCAGCGGAAAAAGCCAACUCAGAUUUUCAAGGUACGAUUUCUGAAUUACGUAUUCCUAUAUAUUAUAUGAGAGCGGUCCUUAAAAGGUUUUAUAAAAAUUUUAAAAACCUGAUUUUUCCCCAACAAUGGGACCUGUGAAACUGUUAUUAUCAAGAAUCAAUAUUUGGAGGUUAGAUAAUACACCAAUCCAUGAUGGAAAGCUUCCACUCAAUUUAUUGUAAGCGAAACUCAUGACUCUGAGUCGACGUAAUUGCCCCAGUUCUUUCGGCAGAUGGCCAUGAAAAUUGUUCUCACUAAUGUCAAGAGACACUAGAAAUGAGAGAUUUCCCAAGUGUAGUGGAAUGGUGCCUCCGAGACCCAUAUCUGAAAGAUUCAAGGCAGUGACUCUUUGAUGGCGUGAACCACAAGAGAUACCAACCCAGCUACAUAUUGGAUAAGAUAUAGACCAAUUAUUUGUCAGGACACUUCGAUAAUCAACGACACGGGCUUUGAAUGCAAGAAGAGCCGAUUGAUCGGUUGUUAAGUUGCUCAAAGUCGUCAUAGCUAAGCUAGCUAUGAAAUAUUGUAACAACAACAUAGGAACAAAGAAGAAUGAUAAGCGCAUAUUGGUCUUUUUUUUUUUUUUUUAUAGAUGCAGCAAUCUAAUUGCUAAGUGAAGUUGAUACAAGUUUUAAGUGAAGGUAAUUAGCAUAUACUUAUACAAGAGACGUAUGAAUUUGAAAACAAGAAAAUAAAAAAUGUACAGGAGAGUGGAGACUUGCAAAUUGUUAUAUUCUAUCAUUGAGCGAGUCGUCCGAGUAAACGCAUAUAGAUUUUUAAAUUGUUAUACGCCGCUGUACUCGAACCCUGAAUAAAGGGCUUAUGGCACUUUACUUACCAAAAAGAAGAAGAUGCUCCACAUUGGCAAGGCCUAUGCAUUCUGUCUAUUUGUUCACAUUAUGCCGAGGCUCAUGGCAACCACAAUUGUUCUUUUCCUUUCCUUUAAAAAUAAAAAAAAGACAGACCAUGACAUUUGGGCUAAUAAUUAUCACUAAACAAUUAAUAAUGCAGAGGGUCAGUGCUAAUAUAGCUUUAAAAUAAUUGUUAUUAGUUGUGCCUUGAAAAAAAAGAAAAAAAAUAGAUAGUUGUACCCCCAUAAUUUAAUGAAAUAAUCAUGUAAAUUCCUAAGCUUUUAACAAUAUACACCAAGACCCCCUUCUGUUACUUUUUACUAUUUAUUCGGAUGUCACAUGCUUUUUUUUUAAAUUUUCACAGUGGAUAUCAAAUGCUGAAUUUACUGUUAUUCCCAGAUCAUGUCAUCGCUUACUUCUACACAUAUUGAUUGUUUUCCCAAAGUUUUAAUUGAAUUAAAAUCAUUCUAAUUAACCUAAAAAAAAAGCAUCCAACCAGAUAUAAAUUUUCUAAUUAACCUAAAUCUUCAUUUUUGUCAUGAUUUUGGAUCUCGAACAGGUUGGGUAUAUCCAACUAGACCUGCCCCAUUAGCAUGCCAAUAUAUUCUGGAAUUGGAAGAGUAUCAAGGAUUUAAUGUGUAAUUUUAAAUUUGUAACGUUUAAUUCUAAUUUGAGGAUUCAAAUUGAAAGAAUUAUAAAAAGAGUUGUUUGUUUCUUGAGGAAGUAUUAAGAAAAUUCUAGAAGAGUUGUGAAACUGAAUUCGUUAUUUUCUUAAUCACAGAAUGUUACAAACUAUGGAUAUUUAUACUUACAUUUCUCAACUUUGAUCAGUGUAACUAAUCAAAGAAUUAAUCAGCUAACUUUCAUCACAAUACAUUUUGUGUUUCUAACAAACUGUAACUAACUAAGCUGAGCUGGCAGCUACACUUCUGCAACACUCUAUAUUCUUCUUUAGCUUAAUUAAGCUUUUCCUUCCUCUGUUUCUCCUUGCUUCGUUCUCCAUAAUGAGCUACUCUAACACAAAUGAAUUUAUGCGGAUCUAAAAGGGGACUGAAGAUUGGCAUGCAUACAUACAUAAAUACAUACAUAUAUAUAUAUAUAUAUAGAGAGAGAGAGAGAGAGAGAGAGAGAGAGAGAGAGAGAGAGAGAGAGAGGUUAUAUAACAUUCUUCUUGAUGAAGAUUUUUGUGCCAUACGAAUUAAAGAGAGUAUUGGGUCGAUGGUUACAUUGCUUCAGAGGUGCUUAGUAGAAACUUUGGUGAGGCAUCACAUAAUUUAAAUUACUAGAUUUACCGAGAUAUAUAUGUAUGUAUGUAUAUAUAUUCCACAUUGGAUUUACAAGCAUUUCGAGCAGGAUAAUGAAUUUCAAUUACUCGGAAUUGUAAACAGCGAAGAAAGUGAAAUUGCUAAGAAGAUGAAUAUUGUUGUUUUGUGGUGUAUGCGGACUCGUCCAUGAACAGAGGGAUAGAAAUGUUAUUGCAAAAAAGCAGACUGACUAGCAGUGACGCUUUGAAUAAGUCCACCAAACAUCUCCUCCUCCAGGACCACCAAUAUAUUCUUCCAUCAUUCAACGUCGUGACGUGGGGAUCAGAAUUAAAUUAUAGGAUGCUUGUAAGUUUCCUUUGUGGAACCUGUGAAUUUGUGACGUCAAAAGUCAAUGAUGCAUGUAAAUAUUGAUAAACAUUUACACUAGCCGGCCCGUGUAGAGUCCGUUUGACUCAUAAAUAUUUGUCACUUUCACUCUUUUUCAAAACCCAAAAGCACGCUAAAGCUUAAUCUUUAAAGAAUUUUUGAUUGAGUGCUGACAUUUUGGGCUUAUCUUUAAGUAAUCUUAUACCACGCAUGCAUUUUUGUCAUUGUGUGAUCGUCGUUACUUCUAAAGAUUGUAAUCUUUAAGAAAUAAAUUACUUCUCUUGAGAGUGAAAGCAGGGCAGCUAUUGGCGUAUUGCAAUGCAGCUGCUAUGUAUAGUAGUCAAUUCUUGAAAAGAACUAGUUUUCUUAAAUUGUAAAUGGUCCCCUUUAUGACUGGGAGAUUUUGAACAAAAUGAAUAUGAUGAAUUCUUUCCUUGAAGUCUCAUCUUUCAUAAUGUUUUUGAAAUAAAGAUAUUACCAUCUCUGGCUAAAUGUUUACUCUUGAUUUGGACCACCUAAUCUGAACUUAAUGAAAGAUUAUGAUCUUGCCUGAUUUUAUGGAUGUGGUCUUAUCUCACUAAGUCAGUAAUGAAUUAAUUAAAGUUUACUGUCAAAUUACGAACUCAAAAACUGCUGCUGCUUCAUUAUUCACAAUACCCAAAUUCAGUGCAGAACUUAUUAUAAGCUUUCCGAAAGUUUUACGCUUUCUUUCCCCCAAAUCCCAAGUACUUCUUGUAAUAUCACUCCCCUGUAGAUGUCUUCCCCUAAGACAUGUUUAACUUUGGUUCAGGGUGACAAAGCUAUCGCUUUUCCUGCCGUGUGCAACAAGCUAUUAAAUUAGAGUAUUUAUUUCUGUAUUACUAAUAGUAGUAAGAGAGGCGAAAUGGAAACUUGAAUUCAUGUUUAUACAACAGUUUGUUUAUAAAUAAAUGAGUUGAUAACAAGUCAUUUUAAAUAUUUGCCAAAAAAAACGGUGAAUGAUGUCUAGUUCUAUUUUCAAUGUUCAGAGUCCAAUUUUGAUUACUGGAAAUUUUAAUUAUGAAGUUGAACUAAGAAUUUGUUAUAAUAUAUCAAAAACAGUAAUAACUCGAUUUACAGGGUGAGAAAGAAAAGAAAGACGCUACGAGGGAAGCAGAGAUUCAAAGACUUCGCCACUUUGUUGGAGGAACAAUUUCAUAAAUCUCCAGAAUAUUGACAUAAAACACAUACCAUAUCUAGCGUUAAGUGUAUUUAUGUAUGUCCAAAGAUAAAAAUUCGAAGAUAUAAUUUAUCAUUUCAAUUUAUGUUCUGCCCAAAGCAAUGGCUUUUAUUCCACAAGCACAAACAAGAAAGAGUACGCACAAAGUUAACAAACACACAUAGCAAACGUGACAUCAACUACUUGCAGCAGCAUCAUCCAGAAACUUCACUCUAAUCUUCUUGAGCUUUUCAGCGGCAACUUUCGUAGAUGCCCUCUGUUCUGGUGACUCCAUGCAACAAUCCAAUGCCGAAUGCAUGAUGCUUAAUAAACAAUUCAUUUUAGGAGAAAAAACUUGCUCUUCUCUCACCAAGUUUGCAUCGACAACAUCACUCAAUGCACGAGGUAAUGACUCCCUUACCCAGUCUCUUAAACUUAUUUCUCCGGUAAACAAUUCAUUUGUGGGCUUCUUUCUGGUGAAAGUUUCCAUCAAUAAAACACCAUAACUAUAGACAUCACCUUUGGCCGAAAUCAUUCCUUCUAAUCCAUACUCUCCAUUUUUUGGUUUCGAUAGAUCAAAUGGAUAUGACAUCAUAAAACAAAUGAUAAACAAAUAAUAUAUUUGACAGUCAAGAUGGCCCAAACUUUGACUGUGCUUCGAAAAGAGCGAAAAUUUGAAAUUAUAAUUGAAACCUUACCUGGUGCCAUAUAACCAGUUGUAGCCACUGUCAUGAUUUGGGUCACAGAAUCUUCUCCAUCACCUAAGAGUUCGGAGAUGCCGAACUCACAUGUGCCACCAUAUUUUCAUCCAAGAGAAUGUUGCGAGGCUUCAAAUCACAAUGAAUUACAGGUGUUGAUGAAUGAUCGUGAUGGAGAUAUUCAAGUGCCAGCCGCACAUCUAUCAUUAUAUUCAACCUCUCUAGGAUAUCUAGGAAAUAGUUGUGAGAACACAACCAUUUCUCAAGACUACCAUUGAGCAUGAACUCAAGCACCAGUACUUUAGAAUCUGGAUUGCAACAGCUGCUAGUGAUCUUUGUGAGAUCUUGAUGACGAACAUUCCACAAUACUUCACAUUCAGAAUCAAAACUCCUAAAGGCUCUCUCUAGCUGCAGAUUGAAAACCUUUAUUACAAUAAUAGUCACAUCAUAAAGUGUGCCUUUAUAAACAGAUCCGAAGCUCUCCGUACCUAGCAGGAUACAUUCACUAAAUCCAUCAGUUGCUCGUUGAAUAUCAUGAUAGGAUAGUCUUCUAUAUGUUGUCGAAGAGAACAAAUCUUCUUUAUCUGGAGUUCUUGUUUUCCUAUUUUGAAAUAUUAUGAAGAAUCAUAACAAUUGUUAUUAGUGCAUUGGAUAUAAUCGAAGGCAAAGUAUAUUUCAGGACAAGCAGAGUAGCAUUCUUGGAUCCUUUGCUAUUAUCUUCUUUGCAAGGUGGGACUUGAAGGCCUGGUGGACCACAUAGUGCAUAAUUCUCAAAAAACGAUUGAGCUGAAAUGUUUUUAAAAGGUCCUUUGAUAGGAAUUACCCCUUCUAGCCUAUUGUGAGACACAUUAAGUUGUUUGAGAUAUGAGAGUGCCUCCAUUGACUUUGGAAUUUCUCCAGAGAGAUUGUUGCUAGGGAGAUCCAAAGAUUCCAACCUUAUCAAACUACUAAAUGAUUUAGGGACCAGACCAUAAAAGUGGUUUCUAGCCAAGGAUAAAGUUGCUAGAUCUUUGAGGCCACCAAUACUUACUGGUAUAUCACCUGAUAAUUGAUUUCUUGAUAAAUCAACUCUAUUAAGACCUUUAAGUUUUGUAUAUCUGAAGAUAGAGGACCACUUAGAGAAUUUGUCGACAAGUUUACAUACAAGAUGUACUCAAGAUUCCACAAGGAUGAUGGGAUACUAGAAGUGAGCGUGUUGUAGCUUAAAAAGAGUGUUUUUAAGGAAUUGAAUAUCUAAAAUCUUGUAUGUAAAUAUUAACACUUAGAGAAUUUGUCGACAAGUUUUUAAGGAUUUACUGAUUAAAUAAUUUUUCAAUUUGUUUGCCUGGAGGAAUUGAAUAGUUAACUGAUUAAAGGAUUUCAAGGUGGUUAGGUCUAGCCGAGCAUUGUAAAUAUUAACAGUCAUUAUGAAUGUGUAAUUCCUAUAUGUGAAAUUGAAUUUCCAUGGUAGAAUGGUAAAUUUCUGGUAGGGUGUGAUUGUAUGGUAGACAAUUGUGAGCAACAGAUCCACAUAGUAAUAUAGACUGAAAUUUUGCGUCUUAAUCCAUGAAGAGAUAUAGAUUUUGGCAAAUAUUAUACAAGCACUUGGGGCAGGGGUGGCUUUAGGUAUAGGCGAAUAAGGCAGUUGUCUAAGGCCCCAUAUUUUGUGAAGGCCUCAUUUUUUUUAAAUUACGUAUUUUAGGAAAUCAAAAAGUUUAUUAACAUCUCUCUAAUUUAUUAAUUAUCCUAUAGUUAAGAAUUAUUUUUUAUGAAAAAUUUAUAUUUGAUAACAUUAAGUUAAAGAGAUAUAACUAAUAAUAUUAUUUAAUUAUUAGUAUUUCCAAAAAAAAUUAAAUUAUUAGUCUUUUCAAUUUCCUAAAAAAAAUAAUUAUUUAAUGUUAGAAUCUUUGACUUUUAGUAUUUCUUUUACUUUCUAUUAAAAACUUUGUAAUCUCAAAAAUCAGUAAAUCAAAAAAUUUCUUCCUCUCUUCUCUACAAAGAAAAUUAUUAUAUUCAUUGGUUCAUUUAAAAAAAAAUCAGUUUAUAGAAAUAUAAAGUCCAUUUCUAUUAUCUGAUCAUUAAUUCAUCAUCUCAACUUUUUAUAUUCUAUCAUUCUAAAUAUAUUAUUUGAAAAUAAUAUUAUUCUUAUUUAUUUGUUUGUUUAUUUUGUAAUAGUUUUAAUGGAAUAAAAAUGAUAUCUUCUUAACUUUUUUUAGGUUUUAUUUUUAAAAUUCAAGAAUUAAAAAUGGAAUAAAUUUUGAGCCUUUUUUUAAAAUUUCUUUGAGUAUUGAAAUUGCAAUUUUUUUUUUAAAUUUCUUUGAGUAUUGAAAUUGCAAUUUCUUUUUAAAAUUUCUUUGAGUAUUGAAAUUACAAAAUAAAUAGAGGCCUCAUAAAAAAAUUUCGCCUAAGGUCCCAAACACUCUAAAGCCGGCCUUGACUUGGGGUUACCUUAAAUAUUAUGGACUUGUCAUUGAUCAUUGAUAGAGUUUCUUUUACCUAGUUAUUGAUAUUUCUUUCAAUUUUCUAUUUUACUGAUACCACAAUUUUAGGUGGCAAGACAACUUUCGAUUUCUAUUAAGCCUGAAAACCUGCAUCUACCAUCACCUCUGUCUGCUUUUGGGGAAUACGAGUUUCCUAUGCGCUUACCCAAAAUACGAGGUCCAGUGGACUCUCAAUGUUAAAGUCCACGGCAAAUAAACAAUCGUUUCAUUUGUUUUGUAUCCAAAUUCCAAAUUCCAUUGAAGAUAAUACAGGCAACAUUGUUUGCAACGCCACAGCUAAUUUGCAGUAGGAUGAAACAAUCAGAAUUUUGCCUUUUUCGUGUAUAAAAUUUUAUUUUUUUAAUUGUGAUAUUACAGUUUUGCCCAUCAAGCAUUAUGAAGCUUAAUAUUUAGAUAAAUGUUAGGUUUAAUCUAUAAAUUUUAACUUCAGUGUUUAUUUAAUUUUUAUAUUUUGUAAAAUAUCUCAAGACAGCCCUAUUCUCAAAUAUUGGCUUGAUCCGUAUAUAUUAACAUCAGUGCUUAUUUAGGUUUUAUAUUUUACAAAAUACUUUAAGGCAGUUCUAUUAUCAAAUAUGUUAUGCUCUUGCUUUCAUUUUUUCUUUGUUUUUAUAAUAAUACUCUGAUAACAAAAUUUUUUUACAUUAAUUUUUUAAUCAAUAAAAAAGGUAACUACCAAAUUAACCGAUAAAUUAAUUUGUUUAUUUUUUUAAUCAAUAAAAAAUUUAAUUAAUAUUAAUUAAUAAAUUACUUGGUAGCAAAUUAAAAAAUAAAUAUUAGCAUAAAACAAUUGAUAUUUUUCAUUCUCUUACAACAAUCUUACUAAUUAUUAUUUAUAAAUUAAUUAAUACAAGUUAAUUUAAAGUAAUGUUUAAUAUUCUUGUAACAAUCUUACUAAUAAUUUUUUUUGUAAAAAAUAAUUUAUUAAAUUAAUCCUAAAAGUAAAAUAAUAAUAAUUAAUUUAUAAUUUAUUUUUAAGGUUAAUUUGAUAAAUUCAAAUUUUUUUAAUUAAUAUCUCCAAAAAUAUAGUUGCAACGAUAUUAUUACAAAAGUUAAAAAAAAGUAAAUAUAGGAUUGUAAUAUAACUGUCAGUGAAAAUAAUUUAAAAUAUUUUUUAUAAUUAAACGGACAUUUAAUUAAAAAUAUAAAGAACUAAAUAAACAUGUAUUUUGUAACAUUUCAACCUGCUGGCUAAUGGUCAUACAAUCAUGGUGAGGCCCGGGAUGUCCGGCCCAGCCCAUCAUGUAAAAAGCCAUGUCACCCUUAUUCUUAAGCUGCUACUGCAUUGCCACUUUGCCAGUUGCCACGAAGCUCCCCACAUCACACCGCACUGAUGCCUCUAGAAAACUAACUUAAAAAAAUGGUAUUAAUAAGCGUUCGCCACGUCACUCCUCACUCUCUUCUUCGUCACUUUCCUCUCACUCAACAUUUUCUCCCCAAACAAAUUCCUGCUUUGAAAAAUCGCAUUUUCUCCUUCACAGCAACAGCUACAAUGUCUUCAACUUCCAAAAAGGUAAUUAUUUUAUUUUAUUUUUUGUUUAGUUUCUUUCUGUUGCCUUUUUGUUUCGUUUUUGAAUUUUCCGUGUCGUUUUUUUCCAAGGUUUUGGUGCCUGUUGCGAACGGGAGUGAGCCGAUUGAGGCUUUGAUAACGAUCGAUGUUUUGAGAAGGUCUGGAGCAGACGUCGCGGUUGCGUCUGUGGAGACACAGCUUCGUGUCGACGCGUGUCAUGGUGUCAAGGUUGUCGCUGAUGCUCUGGUGUCUGACUGCCGCGACGCCGUUUUUGAUCUUAUAGCUCUUCCCGUAUGUAUUGCAGCUCGCCUUAGCUCAUGCCAAUUUAUGUGAUGUUUGUAUAAUUAUAGAUGAUUAUUGCUGAUCCUGAAUGUUAAGCUAAAUAAUUCGUCGUUAAGUCAUCUUCAUUUAAUUUUCGAUUGAAAAUGAACUAAUAAUAAUUUUAAGCAAAGAAAAAAAAUGGAAAAUGUUUAUUUUGUUUUAUUUUUAUUUUUUAAUUUUUUGGGAUUUCCUUAUUGUGGCUGUUACCAUUCAUUAUGUGGUCCUAGUUAAAUAUUUCAAGUUGUUGUAGUCAGUGAAAUUCUUUUCGAUAUUUAUUCUGGCAUGUAUGUUUUUCCUUUUCAAUUUCUUUUGUUGCUGAUUUUUUGGUUAUGUUAUAUCCUUUUUUAUUUCCCUUGUAGGGUGGCAUGCCCGGUGCUACCAAUCUGAAAGAAUCUGAAGUAUUAGAAAGCAUUGUGAAGAAGCAGGCUUCAGAUGGGCGUCUUUAUGCUGCUAUCUGUGCUUCACCUGCUGUGGCGUUAGGGUCUUGGGGUCUGUUGAAGGGAUUGAAGGUAAGAAUUAGAUAAACCUUUUUGAUGUUUUGUGGUCUUUUGGGAAUUGCACUGAUAUUUUUGUUAUAGUUCAGUUUUCUUCUGGCUGAUGAUUCUUAAGUUCUAAUUUAUGUAGUUGUUCAUUUUUCGUAGGCUACUUGUUAUCCAUCAUUUAUGGAGCAAUUAGCUCCUGCUUGUGCAGCAACUGUUGAAUCAAGAGUACAGCAGGAUGGUAAAGUUGUUACGAGUCGUGGACCGGGCACUACCAUGGAGUUUGUCGUUGCACUUGUUGAGCAGUUGUAUGGGAAAGAGAAAGCUGAUGAAGUUUCUGGGCCACUGGUAUUAACUUUUAUAGAUAACGUUGUUUAAAAAAAUUAUGAGUUAUAUAAUUUGUGGAAAUCCAUUCUAAUAGAUUCAUUUGGUGUGUCUAGUUGGAAGUUUCAGAGGCUAAUGUAUUCAAGAAAAUAAGUUCAGGGGAAGAGUAUGACUUUUUGCAUUAGUGAUUCAUUAGAUGAAAUUGCAUACCUGCUGGUCCAUCAUAAGGUGGUGAAAACAAUGUUUGAUUUAAUUAAUGGGAUCCUGAAAUAUGCAUUUGUUGAGCUUCAAUGUCUCCACUGAUAAAAUUCUUUUUAAUGUAAGUUCUUUCUCUUGGUAUUUGUAUUUGAAUUUUCUGUUCCUCAUGCUUUCGUCUUUACUGUCACCUUGUGCCUAGGUAAUGCGUGCAAAUCAUGGAGAUGAAUACACUAUUGCUGAGUUCAAUCCAAUUCAGUGGACAUUUGACAAUUCUCCCCAGGUGAGAUUGGACUGUUAGUUUCUUGUAUUUGUUUUUCUUCUUCCAUGUUUUGAGGGAUACCCAUUUGGUAGUAAAUAAAAAUUUGUGAUAUCUUCUAUACAUGUACAUAUACAUCAUUGACUUCACUCAUUUGUGAACAUAUUGGAGGUAGCAGAUAUAUUUUUAUGAUAAAUCCAAAGUUUGAUCAACUACAAAAGAAGUAUGAGCGUUGCUGGACCAGGGGGGAAGGUUGAGGGUGGAUGGGCUGGGGGUGUACGGCGCAUGAACAAAAGGAAAUUAUAGGGGUGAAAGUUCAUGCCAUCCACAAGUUGUAAAAUGGGUACAUAAUAUUUCAAAUUAGAGAUUGUGAGAUCCUUAAAGAUUGCUGACUUGUGCUUAAAAUGGAACUCUUGAUAACUUCAAAUGUUAUAAGUUCUUGGUGAAAUUUUGUGCUUUCUUUUCUUUCAGAUUCUUGUGCCUAUUGCGAAUGGUUCAGAGGAGAUGGAAGCUGUUAUGAUAAUUGAUAUUCUGCGACGAGCUAAAGCAAACGUUGUGGUUGCAUCGGUUGAGGAUAAACUAGAAAUUCUGGCUUCUCGUCAAGUUAAAUUAGUGGCAGAUGUGCUCAUUGAUGAGGCAGCUAAACUUUCGUAUGAUUUAAUUGUCUUGCCAGUAAGUUGUGGUGCUUACUCUUGCUUCAUAGUCUUUACCACAUUAUUGACUAACUAACUACAAUUUAUCUAUACACAUUGCGCAGGGUGGACUUGGUGGCGCUCAAGCAUUUGCGAAGUCAGAGAAAUUGGUGAAUAUGCUAGAGAAGCAAAAGGAAUCAAAUAGACCUUACGGUGCUAUAUGUGCAUCCCCAGCUUUAGUGUUGGAGCCCCAUGGCUUACUCAAGGUACGACAUUUCUGCUUAAAUUAUUUACUCAGAUUUGCAUCACCUAAUCUGAACUUAAUGAAAGAUUAUGAUGUUGUAUGAUUUUAUGAAUGUGUUCUUAUAUCAUGUAAGUCAGCAAUGAAUUAAUUGAAGUUUGCUGACAAAUUAGAAGCUCAAAAACUGCUGCUUCUUCAUUAGUUAAUUACCCAAAGAGUUAAGAUAGGCAUCCCAAAUUUGUUAUCCCAAAUGAUAUGGCAUUUAUUGAGUGAUUGGUAUUAAUUGUAUUAUCUAACCCACCAACAGAUGAAUGCCGCACCAUUUGAGACGAUCUUUUGGGAUAAAAAAUUUGGGAAGUGUAGCAAAUUUUUAUGCUGAUUUUUUUGGCUUCAUUCAUGUAAACUCCCCCCCCCCCCCCCCCCAAAAAAAAAGGAAAAAACCAACAAACACCCAAAAAAAAAAAAUUCUGAAGUACUUCCCGUAAUAUCAUUCCUGUGUAUUUCUUUUCCCCUCAAGACAUAUUUAACUUUGGUUCAGGGUAAAAAAGCUACAGCUUUUCCUGCCAUGUGCAACAAGCUGUCAGAUCAGAGUGAAAUCGAAAACAGGGUUGUGGUUGAUGGCAACCUUAUCACCAGCAGAGGGCCAGGAACUUCUAUGGAGUUUGCACUGGCAAUUGUGGAGAAGUUUUUUGGCCGC